rnacentral:rRNA from 1 species
UUGUCCAGCACGUGAUGGUGGGGACGUCGUGAGAGACGUGCCGGGGUCGAACUCGGAGGAAGGUGGGGAUGACGUCAAAUCAUCAUGCCCCUUAUGUCUAGGGCUUCACACAUGCUACAAUGGCUAGUACAGAGGGCUGCGAUACCGCGAGGUGGAGCGAAUCCCUUAAAGCUGGUCUCAGUUCGGAUUGGGGUCUGCAACUCGACCCCAUGAAGUCGGAGUCGCUAGUAAUCGCAGAUCCAGCAACGCUGCGGUGAAUACGUUCCCGGGCCUU